rnacentral:rRNA from 1 species
AUUGAACGCUGGCGGCAGGCCUAACACAUGCAAGUCGAGCGGAUGAAGGGAGCUUGCUCCUGGAUUCAGCGGCGGACGGGUGAGUAAUGCCUAGAAAUCUGCCUGGUAGUGGUUGAUAACGUCCGGAAACGGGCGCUAAUACCGCAUAAGUCCUGAGGGAGAAAGUGGGGGAUCUUCGGACCUCACGCUAUCAGAUGAGCCUAGGUCGGAUUAGCUAGUUGGUGGGGUAAAGGCCUACCAAGGCGACGAUCCGUAACUGGUCUGAGAGGAUGAUCAGUCACACUGGAACUGAGACACGGUCCAGACUCCUACGGGAGGCAGCAGUGGGGAAUAUUGGACAAUGGGCGAAAGCCUGAUCCAGCCAUGCCGCGUGUGUGAAGAAGGUCUUCGGAUUGUAAAGCACUUUAAGUUGGGAGGAAGGGCAGUAAGUUAAUACCUUGCUGUUUUGACGUUACCAACAGAAUAAGCACCGGCUAACUUCGUG